CCUACGGGUGGCAGCAGUGAGGAAUAUUGGUCAAUGGGCGCGAGGCUGAACCAGCCAAGUCGCGUGAAGGAUGACUGCCCUACGGGUUGUAAACUUCUUUUAUCAGGGAAUAAAGUGAGGCACGUGAGCCUUUGUGUAUGUACUUUAUGAAUAAGGAUCGGCUAACUCCGUGCCAGCAGCCGCGGUAAUACGGAGGAUCCGAGCGUUAUCCGGAUUUAUUGGGUUUAAAGGGAGCGUAGAUGGGUGGUUAAGUCAGUUGUGAAAGUUUGCGGCUCAACCGUAAAAUUGCAAUUGAUACUGGGAGUCUUGAGUACAGUUGAGGUAGGCGGAAUUCGUGGUGUAGCGGUGAAAUGCUUAGAUAUCACGAAGAACUCCGAUUGCGAAGGCAGCUUACUAACGUGCCACUGACAUUGAUGCACGAAAGUGUGGGUAUCAAACAGGAUUAGAUACCCCAGUAGUC
rnacentral:rRNA from 1 species